UACGUAGGUGGCAAGCGUUGUCCGGAAUUAUUGGGCGUAAAGCGCGCGCAGGCGGUCCUUUAAGUCUGAUGUGAAAGCCCACGGCUCAACCGUGGAGGGUCAUUGGAAACUGGGGGACUUGAGUGCAGGAGAGAAGAGUGGAAUUCCACGUGUAGCGGUGAAAUGCGUAGAUAUCAGGAGGAACACCGGUGGUGUAGACGGCUUUCUGGACCAUAACUGACGCUGAGACACGAAAGCGUGGGUAGCAAACAG
rnacentral:rRNA from 1 species